rnacentral:rRNA from 1 species
AUGGCGACCGGCGCACGGGUGAGUAACACGUAUCCAACCUGCCGAUAACUCGGGGAUAGCCUUUCGAAAGAAAGAUUAAUACCCGAUGGUAUAAUCAGACCGCAUGGUUUGAUUAUUAAAGAAUUUCGGUUAUCGAUGGGGAUGCGUUCCAUUAGGCAGUUGGUGAGGUAACGGCUCACCAAACCUUCGAUGGAUAGGGGUUCUGAGAGGAAGGUCCCCCACAUUGGAGCUGAGACACGGUCCAA